ensembl:lncRNA
CUGGGCUCCAUCGCCAGGACCUCCGUCGAAAGAAAGAAGCUACGUGCGAACCUAAAAUACCUCAAGACCCUAGGUCCAGAUACCACGUGCAGUACUGCUUGCUUUCCUUUUGCCCGCUGUCUUCACACGUACCCCAAACACGACCAGGUUUUUCCCUCGAAAAAUUCUUCAGUCCUCUGAAGUUCUUCUGGGCCCCGUUAGUUCACGGAAAGAUGUUGAGGGGGUUAGACUUCAGGUGUGCGGACAGUUCAAGUGUAGUGCUGUCGCUAACGUCUGUGUGCCUGCACCCUCUAGGUGACACGUGGCCCUUAAGCUCGGGACAAGAGGAAGACGUGGAGUCCCCUGACGAGGAGGAAGGGGCGCCCGAGCCAGAAACCGAACGGGAAGACACCCGUCCUGAGGCGAACGUAGCUGACGAAGGUGCUCCGGAGGAGCCAACCGAGGACGAGACAUUGACGUCUGCGCUCGCAGCAGACCAGCCUGACGUGUCCGGUGACACGUGGCCCUUAAGCUCGGGACAAGAGGAAGACGUGGAGUCCCCUGACGAGGAGGAAGGGGCGCCCGAGCCAGAAACCGAACGGGAAGACACCCGUCCUGAGGCGAACGUAGCUGACGAAGGUGCUCCGGAGGAGCCAACCGAGGACGAGACAUUGACGUCUGCGCUCGCAGCAGACCAGCCUGACGUGUCCGGUGACACGUGGCCCUUAAGCUCGGGACAAGAGGAAGACGUGGAGUCCCCUGACGAGGAGGAAGGGGCGCCCGAGCCAGAAACCGAACGGGAAGACACCCGUCCUGAGGCGAACGUAGCUGACGAAGGUGCUCCGGAGGAGCCAACCGAGGACGAGACAUUGACGUCUGCGCUCGCAGCAGACCAGCCUGACGUGUCCGGUGACACGUGGCCCUUAAGCUCGGGACAAGAGGAAGACGUGGAGUCCCCUGACGAGGAGGAAGUUUCAACGCAGUCAGAAAGUGCAGUGGAAUAUUAUACUGAAUACUUUGCAGAUGCUACUGAGGAACCAGCUGUGCAGGAGAAGAUCACAUUUGAUGAAGGGAUUUUAAUGUUUAUAUUAUUGUUUUGUAGCUUUUGUGUGAUUUUUAUUGUAUUAUAUAAAUCUACCCUUGAUGAGAUAUGGCGGGGUUAAUUGGUAUAUACUGCGUUGUAUCCAUUUGUUAAUUGUUUCCCCCUCGAUUCAUUAAACCCGUCUUUAUAGCUCAAAAAUAUGUGAUUUGUAUUUGUAUAGAUUGUGUUUGGGUUCUUAACCUAUGUUUUCUCUUAUUUCAGAAGUAUUUGUCAUCCUGUUUCUAUUGGUUUUUUUUUUUAUAAGUGUAUAUGUUAAUUUUUACAGUGAUUCUGACAAAAAUAUUUGAUUAAAAGGAAUAGUGUGUUGGUUUUUGUUAUUUUUUCUGUUUUCAUCUCUUGAACUUUUAAAACAUGUUCUUGCUUCCUUCGAAAUGUUGUAUUUUCAAGUAGAGCUGCAGGGACAUUGCAGGAGAACGAACAGCAUGGUAAGCAGUAUGAAAUACGUUACGUUCUUAUACCAUCAGUUGAUUCAGUUGUGCUCUAUUCAGGGCCAUCCCUGAUUCUAGGAAUGGAUUCUAUUCCUCAAACUGCGUGAGCAGUAUGCACUGUUUCCUGUUUUAAAAUAUAUCUACCCACCCCAUCCCGCAUCUCAAGUGUUUUCUCACCCUUUAUGCACUGUUCUUUACUCAUUUGAAUUGUCAAUGGGGCCCCACUGCAGAUUUCCAGGGGCCUUUCUGUGGUCCGCUCCCUCCUCGCCAGCCCUCUCUUGUCUGAUCUCUUAUCUGCGUUGGUUUUGUCUGACUCUCUGCUUCAUCACCUCGACUGAGGGUGUCUGGUGGGCCCUCCUACCUCUGUUCCCUGUCCCUGUGUCACAGCCUGCAUAUUCUCCCAAGGCCGUGCACUGGGGCGUCCAUUAGACUCACUUCAUGUGUGUUUAGGGAUCACUGUCCUUCAUUGUCUG